GGCCUUAAUGACCCGCGUUAAAAACCAAUAAAUGCGAGCAGUCCGUAAUAAAAUUAUCAUAUUACGUACGAUUUCCCGCCUCACGCACUAAUAUACAUACUGCAGACUACAGUAUAUUAUUGAACCCAGUGCUCGACUUGGUAAAAUUAAAGAGUUUACUUUUGUAAAAGAGCGUCCCCAUCACUUGUUAAACGAUAUUGAUAUAUACUGCUGUUGUUCCGAGAGCGACGAUGACGGUGGCUAGCGGUAUCGGCACGGACAUCGACACCGCCUCGACGGUACCUGCAGUGACGACUGCUGCAGCAGUGCUACUCGAAGACGACUUGUGACUGCGGCGACGCAUGAUAUUAUAACUAACAUUUAGGGUGGCCAGGAACACGCCAGGUCAGAGGAAACGAAACGUUUCAGAGUUCAGCGGUGCUCGACUCCACGGCGGUGCCGGCGGGACACCAGGGCGAAAACCACGGAGAGUAUCAGGACAGCGACGCGUAGCGAUGUUGUCCGCCGAUUCUCUCCCCUUUUCACCCAGCGGUCUGAUCCCGCCGGCCGAAAUUAUAGUCUUCGUCGCUAGCUCCGAGCUUUGGUCACCGUCGUCGCCGGCACAACAGUCGUCUUCAGCGUCUGCAGUACCGUCAAGCGCACGACAUCACGCACUAGCUAACUGUCACCGCUCCUCUCGCAGCCGUUAUGGCCGGGCUUCGCCCGCUGCCAUGGUCGUCUUCACGUCCAGAGCAAACCCGUGACUCUCGUCCGCCCCGCUGGACCGGCAAUGAAAACGGUGUAGUCUAGUGGUCAUCAUCAUCUACAUCACCACCCGGCACCCGCUCGCCAUCAUGUACCCCCCCUCCCCCCAACACAACCUUGUAUUGUCUGAUGUCUUUUUUUUUCAUUAAAAUAAUUAUAGUAUUGUUUUUUUCAACUUUA